ACUUUCCUUUUUUCCGUUGCAUUGUUUCUGGGUUUUGAGGUCUUCUUGUACUUACUUGCCUGAAUGUUAUUUGUUCAUGAGCUUUUCGAACUUUCAAAAUGUCAAAGUUUCGAUCUUUUGGAUUUAGAUCUAGAUGUUACUCAAAUUGUUGAUGGUGUGUUAUGUUCAUUUUAUUUCUUGUUAGUUUUUCUAAUAAUAUCAAAUGUGAUGUUUCAACUACCUGCAAUCUAAUCAUCCAGACACAGGUCAAACUUGUUUUGGAGUUUAUUUUAUAGUUUACUAAGACAAGUCGAAAAGGUUCAUGUUUUUUAGAAACUAGUUAUGACUUUGAGGCUCUAAUGUUGUCAACAGAGACAUAUUCCCCCCCCCCCCCCCUCCCCUCCAGUAAAGGAGCUUUGGAUCGUCGCUUAUGGUUCACUUGUUUGGCUUAAGUUCCCUAUAUAGCAAAAUGUUGAUUGCUAAUACACGACACAUCCAUAGUGUCUUAUACAUAAUCCAGAUAGUGGUGGUGACCUGAAACUUCAUCUGGAGAAGUUAGUAGAAGCUGAAAUACGUUCAAGAUGUCAUCAAGAAGAAACAUUUUGAAAGCUAUUAAGGAACCAAGUGAAUCUUGGGAGUUUUAUAGAGAGGCCACUCAUGCAGACACAUACGCAUAUAAAAACUUCAUACUGUAGAGAAGAGAGGAUUGUUGCAAGAGCGUAGCUGAAAUGAGCAUGAUGUUGCUAUAACUUUGCUUACUUAUUGUUGUUGUUUCUGAAAGCAUAUGAUUUUGUCUGAUUAAUAACAAAUUACAGAAACAAGUGAUCUUCUUGAGCAAGAAUGGUGUACUUUUUUACUUACAAAAAUAUCUUACCAAACA